rnacentral:rRNA from 1 species
UACGUAGGGUGCAAGCGUUGUCCGGAAUUACUGGGCGUAAAGAGCUCGUAGGUGGUUUGUCGCGUUGUUCGUGAAAACUCACAGCUCAACUGUGGGCGUGCGGGCGAUACGGGCAGACUGGAGUACUGCAGGGGAGACUGGAAUUUCCGGUGGAGCGGUGAAAUGCGUAGAGAUCGGAAAGAACACCAACGGCGAAAGCACUCUGCUGGGCCGACACUGACACUGAGAGACGAAAGCUAGGGGGAGCGAAUGGG